GACGAACGCUGGCGGCGUGCUUAACACAUGCAAGUCGAACGGAAAGGCCCUGCUUUUGUGGGGUGCUCGAGUGGCGAACGGGUGAUUAACACGUGAGUAACCUGCCCUUGACUUUGGGAUAACUUCAGGAAACUGGGGCUAAUACCGGAUAGGAGCUCCUGCUGCAUGGUGGGGGUUGGAAUGUUUCGGCGGUUGGGGAUGGACUCGCGGCUUAUCAGCUUGUUGGUGGGGUAGUGGCUUACCAAGGCUUUGACGGGUAGCCGGCCUGAGAGGGUGACCGGCCACAUUGGGACUGAGAUACGGCCCAGACUCCUACGGGAGGCAGCAGUGGGGAAUAUUGCACAAUGGGCGGAAGCCUGAUGCAGCAACGCCGCGUGCGGGAUGACGGCCUUCGGGUUGUAAACCGCUUUCGCCUGUGACGAAGCGUGAGUGACGGUAAUGGGUAAAGAAGCACCGGCUAACUACGUG
rnacentral:rRNA from 1 species